GGCCCAAAUUCCUAGCGGAGGCUGCAGUAGGGAAUCUUCCACAAUGGGCGAAAGCCUGAUGGAGCAACGCCGCGUGUUGAUGAAGGCUUUCGGGUCGUAAAGCACUGUUGUAUGGGAAGAAAAGUUAAGGUAGGGAAUGACCUUAGCCUGACGGUACCAUACCAGAAAGGGACGGCUAAAUACGUGCCAGCAGCCGCGGUAAUACGUAUGUCCCGAGCGUUAUCCGGAUUUAUUGGGCGUAAAGCGAGCGCAGACGGUUGGUUAAGUCUGAUGUGAAAGCCCGGAGCUCAACUCCGGAAAGGCAUUGGAAACUGGUUAACUUGAGUGCAGUAGAGGUAAGUGGAACUCCAUGUGUAGCGGUGGAAUGCGUAGAUAUAUGGAAGAACACCAGCGGCGAAGGCGGCUUACUGGACUGUAACUGACGUUGAGGCUCGAAAGUGUGGGUAGCAAACAGGAUUAGAUACCCUGGUAGUCCACACCGUAAACGAUGAACACUAGGUGUUAGGAGGUUUCCGCCUCUUAGUGCCGAAGCUAACGCAUUAAGUGUUCCGCCUGGGGAGUACGACCGCAAGGUUGAAACUCAAAGGAAUUGACGGGGACCCGCACAAGCGGUGGAGCAUGUGGUUUAAUUCGAAGCAACGCGAAGAACCUUACCAGGUCUUGACAUCCUUUGAAGCUUUUAGAAAUAGAAGUGUUCUCUUCGGAGACAAAGUGACAGGUGGUGCAUGGUCGUCGUCAGCUCGUGUCGUGAGAUGUUGGGUUAAGUCCCGCAACGAGCGCAACCCUUAUUGUUAGUUGCCAGCAUUCAGAUGGGCACUCUAGCGAGACUGCCGGUGACAAACCGGAGGAAGGCGGGGACGACGUCAGAUCAUCAUGCCCCUUAUGACCUGGGCUACACACGUGCUACAAUGGCGUAUACAACGAGUUGCCAACCUGCGAAGGUGAGCUAAUCUCUUAAAGUACGUCUCAGUUCGGACUGCAGUCUGCAACUCGACUGCACGAAGUCGGAAUCGCUAGUAAUCGCGGAUCAGCACGCCGCGGUGAAUACGUUCCCGGGUCUUGUACACACCGCCCGUCACACCAUGGAAGUUUGUAAUGCCCAAAGCCGGUGGCCUAACCGUAAGGAGGGAACCGUCUAAGGC
rnacentral:rRNA from 1 species